GUCCAUUAAGCCUAUUACAUUUGCUCUGACCUCGGAUCAGGUA
rnacentral:rRNA from 1 species